UCUCACCCGUCUUGCAGACAUUACAGAACAUCGGAGUUAUAGAAGUGCGGAAGCAAUUACAUAAACUUACAUUUAUUUAGAAAGUAAGAUCAAGUUACUUAUUACAGACCAGAGCUAUAAAACGAGUGCUGAGUAGUAAUAUUUUACAAACCAAGGGAGGCACAAACUCCUCCCGAUAAGUUUUAAGUAAAAGAUCCUAUGUGGACGACCAAGUCCUCCCGUACUUCAGUCUUGUUUUUCUUCAUUUGGUACCACCUUGGAGCAAAAGCAACAAAAAUAUGUCGCUUCCUCACCUAAAAACAACAAAGGGAUAAACCCUGAGUAUGGAAUUACUCAGCAAGUCUUACCCGACUAAGGAAAAGACUCUCAAGGGUAUGCUGGAUAAAUAGGAAUCAAGGUGAGGCUUUAGCAAGAAUCAACUUAGAUACUUUUGCAGAAAUAGCUUACUAAAGUGAGUCCUUACUUUCAAUAUUUUAACGCCAGAUUAAAUAUUUAAUAGACUCUGUUUGCAUCUAGUCUAAUUUCAUCAUCUCAUCAAUACAACAUCAUUUUUAUCCAUAGUGUUCACAUCUUGACUUAGGUUGUAGGUCGGAGCUCAAGUCUCCACUCUCCGGGGAUAUAACGGCGAUCCGAAUCGAUUUACUCAGCUGAGGAUCUCUAACCACACGACAUAUGUUUCUCGUAAACCUUGAUGUCUACUAUUCCCACGGAUCCUCCACUGCAUGAACAGGUCCGCGCCACCCGAGAGUACACCACCCCUUUUAGGCGAUCCGUUGCCAGGAGGGUACGUGCCACUCUCGCCAUCUCUCCACGCCCAGUGCGCGAUUGUCUUUUCAUGUAUGGAAUAGCCGGGUUCAAGCUUACCCUGUCCCAUUCUCAGGGCAUGUGGCUAGAUAAGAUAGUCCUUGAUCAAUAGGCCUACAUACGCAUCCAAUCCUUAAUUGACUCGGGCGGAGCAUCACCUGUUCCUAGCCCAAGUCUCGAUUUAAGUAUUUCCAUCCUUAGGAUUGUGUCUGUUCCUUAGGAUGAAAGAGCAUCACAGGGAACUUUGCAGUAAGAUCCCACUAUUGCUCCAAAUGAAAAUAUUCUUGCAGGUAGAAGCCAUCCUCUCCAUGGUUAAAUUGAGGACAACCUCUAUCCACAAGAUCUAAGCAAGGCUAAGCAUUUUUGUAAAUCAUAUUUUGAUACUUCACAGAAGUAUCUAUAAAGGUAUGGAUAUCAAGGAAAACAAUGCAUCAAAGGGUUUCAAGUAACUCCUAUGAACCUAAUGCACAUUUCACUAGACUUAAGUGUGCAAAAAGUAUUUAAAAACACAAGGAAAGGGGUUGCAUGCACCGGGGCUUGCCUUCGUUCGUAGUUGAGUCAGGCUCGGACUCACAGUUGUCGAAGUAGAGCCAAGUCCCUGCCUGAGAUUUCAAAGGUGGUGAUGUCUUCUCUUGAGUCACCUCACUCUCUUUUUCGUUUUCUAAAUAUAACCAUAUAGGUAUAUAUAUAAGAAUGAAUGUCAUGUAAUGCAAACUAUCACAAAGAGAGGUGGAGAACAGAAACACUACAACUAAAGCACAUGACAAGAAUACACCUAUUUCUUAUCGCUCGAUUAAAGUGACCAAUUUGAAAUCACUUAGGUAAACCAGGGAAUUAAUCCAACUUAUAUCUCAUCCAAAAGCUUAAAACUUCAUAAGCAACUUCAUCUCUUCACUUAACUACUAGGUGUCCUCGUUUCAUAAGUGAAAUCCUUUUUCUUUUUGGGCAAUAAUUAACUUGCUAAGCAAAUCAUAUCCAAAUAGUUCCAACUUUUGCCCAAGUGUUUAACUUCUGAUAAAAAGCUUCUCCAAGAAUUUUCUACAAUUUCUAGCACAACUUAUAAGUUCUUGGUUAAAGAAAAGACGAAAGUAUGAACAGUAUUGGGCCCAAACUAGCCCAUACUGCCUAAUAUGGGCAGAGCCGGCCCAUGGAUGACUGCUCGCGCCCACGCCGUGCGCGCUUUGCAAAAAGAACCUCGUUGCCCAGACAAAUCCAAACGAGCCCGAGCCACUGUUAAUUGGUGUCACUGACAGUUUCGCUUAGACCCCUGGACUUCAUCUCUUUUGCACAAACUCAGCCGCGACACUGCCGUGCUCAACCCCGGCGGUCAGACAUCCGAUCCGCCACGGUGGUGUGACCUAGUCAACGACGAUGGCACCAUCACGAUCCCCAGGCAACGGUGGACUCCAACCUGUGUUCAAUCGACCGCGGGGACGCUAAGACCUAACUACCGAUGGUGGCGGCGGCAAACCCAGUUCGGUGGGCUCAAUUCAACGGCCACCACAUGGUAGAGCUUCAAACUCCGACGCUGGGAGCAAUAGAGACCUACCACGACUACGGUGCUCGUACGAAACCGACCAAGAACGACAUAGUUUAACCGAUCGGCGGUGAGACUGUCUAUGGGGACGGUCUGCGGCGGCGCGACCCUGUUCCGGUCAACACACGAUGGCAGAACUGAAAUUACCAAUGGGAAAACCUUCACUGACCUUAGGAGAACGUGGAACGAGGGUCAUGCGGGCUGGUCACUCCCUGAGACGUCUUGGCCACGGAGAGAUAGGCAAUCAGUGGGCAUGGUCACCACUGAC
rnacentral:lncRNA from 1 species